rnacentral:rRNA from 1 species
GACGAACGCUGGCGGCGUGCUUAACACAUGCAAGUCGAACGAAGUGGCGAACGGGUGAGUAACGCGUAAUCAACCUGCCCUUCAGAGGGGGACAACAGUUGGAAACGACUGCUCAUACCGCAUACUGAAGGAGGGGCUUGCGUCUGAUUAGCUAGGUGGAGGGGUAACGGCCCACCAAGGCGAUGCUCAGUAGCCGGGAUGUGCGGAUGAACGGCCACAUUUGGACGGAGACACGGCCAAGACUCCGACGGGAGGCAGCAGUGGGGAAUCGUCCGCAAUGGACGAAAGGCUGACGGAGCAACGCCGCGUGAGUGAGGACGGCCUUCGGGUUGUAAAGCUCUGUUAAUCGGGACGCGGUACCGGAAUAGAAAGCCACGGCUAACUACGUGCCAGCAGCCGCGGUAAUAC